GACCACAGUUUAUUUAUUUACUUCACUUAUAGUCCAUCUUUCUUAAUGAGACUCUGUUCAACAUGGUUUCAGGUGGGUAGCUGUGUUGGCCUGCAGCAGAAGAGCAAGAUUUGAAUCCAGUAGCAUCUUAAAGACCAACAAGAUGUCCAAGGAGAUCUUCAAGGUUCUUUGGAAUUACGACACCCAAAUACCUCCAUUUUUCUUUCACCCAUUUGAAGGGAUAGACUAAUUUAAGUGGUUCUUCUUGUUCCUUGGGCUGAAGCUAUGGAGAUGUAUUUCCUUCAGAUUACAGCUUUCAAUGCAUCCCAGACAUAAUCCUGGGAGACACCACAAUUUAAGUUAAAUUUGAAGUAGUUUUGGAUUUCUACUUCUAUUUCUUUGUAUGAUGAAAUAUCAAAUAAAAGCAAUUUGU